CCUCCUUUCUAAGGAGCUUGUCUCCAAAGAAUCUUAUGAAACAUCUGAUAAGGGUCGCCUCUUCAACGCAACUUCUCUCAGUUUUACCUGCAAGGGUCCUAGACAAUCAGGUUGGGCCUAUAGCUCAGAUGGUUAGAGCGCACGCCUGAUAAGCGUGAGGUCGAUAGUUCAAUUCUAUCUAGGCCCACCAUCUGAGUCAUAAAUAGUUGGCAAAUUUGGCCAAUUGGAGGUGGGACAAGAGCCUUUACCCUUCUUCUUGGGGGGCUGUAGCUCAGCUGGGAGAGCACCUGGUUUGCAACCAGGGGGUCGGCGGUUCAAUCCCGCUCAGCUCCACCAUUUGCUGCAUUCUGAGUGAAGUGGUUGUGGUAGAUUUGUGCGGUCCUUCGAUGGGCCGAGUUGUUCUUUGACAAUUGAAUAGACCGAAUGAAGGUCAUGUGUAUCAGAAGUAAAUGAUGUUAAGUUAUUAAGGUGUACGGUGGAUGCCUUGGCAAAGGGCGAAUUCUGCAAAAUAUCCAUUCACACUGGCA
rnacentral:tRNA from 1 species